GGUUGCGAUCAUACCAGCACCAAUGCACCGGAUCCCAUCAGAACUCCGCAGUUAAGCGUGCUUGGGCGAGAGUAGUACUAGGAUGGGUGACCCCCUGGGAAGUCCUCGUGUUGCAACCCC
rnacentral:rRNA from 1 species